UUCGCAAUGCCCGAAAGGGUGACGAAGCGACGCCGCGUGUGGGAAGAAGGCCUUCGGGUUGUAAACCACUGUCAGGAGUUAGGAAGUGUAGUGGUGCGAAUAGCGCUACUACUUGACUAAGGCUCCAGAGGAAGCCACGGCUAACUCUGUGCCAGCAGCCGCGGUAAUACAGAGGUGGCAAGCGUUGUUCGGAAUUAUUGGGCGUAAAGAGCACGUAGGCGGUUCUGCAAGUCGGCUGUGAAAGCCUUCCGCUCAACGGAAGAACAGCAGUUGAUACUACAGGACUCGAGUGCGGGAGGGGAGAGUGGAACUUCUGGUGGAGCGGUGAAAUGCGUAGAUAUCAGAAGGAACGCCGGCGGCGAAAGCGACUCUCUGGCCCGUAACUGACGCUGAGUGUGCGAAAGCUAGGGGAGCAAACGGGAUUAGAUACCCCGGUAGUCCUAGCCGUAAACGAUGGGCACUAAGUAGAGGGGUUUU
rnacentral:rRNA from 1 species